CGCAGGGGGUGGAGAAGCAGCAGCAGCACCAACGCGGGCGCGGCAAGAGCGAGUUUUUUACGCGGCUGGAGCCUCUCUCGCAGCGAAGGGGCGGGUGCCUGCGGUCCGGGUUUAUCUUUACGCUUGGGAAAAGAAAGUACAAAUUUAAUGGCUCAAAAACCUUAUUAUCCAAGUAACUGGAGAGGCUGGAGAUGGAGCCCUAACCAAGUCCUGUGAAGAGCUGCCAAAAAAGCCUUCGGAAGCAAGAGCACAUUCUGGAUUGAGGAAAGAGCCGAGGAAAGACUCCAGUUUUGCUUGACAGAUCUGUGCAGAAUAUUUGAGCCCCGCUCCCCCCAACUUCUACCUCAUUUUUAUGCAUUUUGGUCAGUCAUGGCUGGGGAACUGUGUCUACUGCUCCUGUUGCUGUUUUGUGGAAGAACGAUUUCAGAAGUGCAGCCUUUAUACCAACCGCCUUCUGAAACUCUGGAUUUUGGGUUUGUUCCUGCAAAGACUUACGACACCGCAGCGUACCACGAACCUGGAGCAAUAGGGAUUUUGUUUCGAUUAGUCCACACUUUCCUCUAUUUAGUGCAACCAAAUUAUUUCCCUCAAGAUCUUAUCAAAAAACUAGCACAGCAAUCGUUUGGCAAAACCGCUGGUGAUUAUCAAAAGCCAGAAAAUGUUGUCCUGACCCUUCAGGCAGUUUACUAUGAAAUCGGGUUUAUAGUCUCUGCUGCUCUGGGAGUGCUGUUUCUUCUAUUGCUGCCUCUAGUGGGGCUUUGCUUCUGCAUGUGUCGUUGCUGUGACAACUGUGGCGGGGAGCUGCACCAAAGACAGAAGAAAAAUGCUGACUGUCAGAGGGGCUGCUUUGCUACAGUACUUUUCGUUGCUGCUUUAAUAAUCAGUAUUGGUGUGCUUUUUGCUUAUGCUGCUAACCAGCACCUCACAAGUCAAGUCAGAGGAGCAAGGAAGCUGGUGAACAGUAAUUUCAAAGACCUGAGGAUUUUCCUGAAUGAGACACCUGGGCAAAUUGACUAUUUGGUGAGUCAGUAUGACACUACCAAGAAGAAAGCACUUUCUGACCUUAAUAAUGUUGGGCCAUUGCUUGGCAGAAGAGUCCAAGAGCAGCUGGCAAAGGAGGUGCGCCCUGCACUCGAUGGAGCCCUAACCAUGGCAGGAGCUAUUCGUGAAACAAAGGAGGCUCUGGAGAACGUGAGUGUGUCUGUGGAGGUCCUGCAGGAGGGCACCGAGAAGCUGCAUGCCAACCUGACGGAUGUUAAAGAGCACCUGAUCAACACACUCGGGGAUUCAGCUUGCACAGCUGCCCAAGCGUCAUCCACCUGCAACGUCAUCAGGAAUUCCUUAGAUCAGCUAAACAUCAAUGCCAACUUCAGCAAGUUGCCGGGAGUGAAUGCUCAACUUGUCAAAGUCAAUGAGGUCCUUAAAACAGACCUCUCUAGUCUUGUUCAAAAGGGUUAUGCAGCAUUUAAUGAUACACCUGAUUUGGUGCUCAAUCAGACAAGGAACAUUUUAUCAGAUAUUAAAAAUGUACUGGAAGCUGUUGGUUCAAAUAUCACAAGCUUUACUAAAAUGCUUCCCAUCCACAAGAUAAUAGCAGACUUCACCCUAUAUCUAACUCAGGGUGAGACAUACGUUCAAGAAUAUUUUCCAGUAGUGGAGCAGUAUGAUUUCUACAGGUGGCUGGGUUGCUUAAUUCUCUGCUGCAUGGUGAUACUGAUCCUUGUAUUUUAUUACCUGGGAUUGUUAUGUGGUACCUGUGGUUAUGACAAAAAUGCCACUCCAACAACGAGAGGCUGUAUCUCAAACACUGGAGGAAACUUCCUGAUGGCCGGAGUUGGAUUCAGUUUUCUUUUCUCCUGGGUUCUGAUGCUAAUAGUAGUGGUCACUUUCAUUACGGGAGGAAAUGUGGAGAAGCUUGUUUGUGAACCAUUUGAAGACAGGAGUCUAUUCAAAGUUUUGGAUACGCCAUAUUUGCUGAAUCAGCAGCUGAAAUACUAUCUUUCUGCAAUCAUUUUAAAAAAUCCAAACAUUAACUUGACAUUUGAAAAAGUUUACAGUGAUUGCAAGGAAAACAAAGGCAUUUAUACUUCCCUGCACCUGGAAAACCUUUUCAACAUCCAUGAAAUUCUGAAUGUUAGAAUGUAUGCAGAAGAUGUAUCACUGAAAAUCAAGCAUAUUAAUAUAAAUCUAAGCAAUAUAGUUUUGCUUGAUGAGAGGGGAAAGGAGAAUUUGAUGAAUUUCAGUUCCUCGGGAAUAAAUGAGAUAAACUUUGCAGCGUAUCUGUCAGAGAUCAAUAAGAGUGUUACCAGAGUGGAUCUCUUGUCCUUUGCUAAUGAUUUGGAAGCACGAGCAGACCAACUGCCUAAAGGAGCAUUAGAAAAUGCAUUAAAAGGACAUGCAAAUAGUAUUCGCGUGAUACAUAACCAACAAGUUGUUCCAUUGGAGCAAGCAAUGAGCACUUUAAACCAGAGCAUAAGGUUACUGCAGAAAACAUCAUCAGAGCUUCCAGGAAAAGUCAGAAGUGUGAUCAGUGCUGUUAAUGCUGCACAACUUCUUAUAAACAACAAUGCUUCGUUCGUUAUUGUUCAGGAAACUAAAAAGUAUAUGGAUACUAUAAUCGGUUACUUUGAGCAGUAUGCUGAAUGGGUGAAGGAAUCGAUUGCUAUGGAAGUUGCAACUUGUAAGCCCAUUGCCAAUGUGGUCGAUACUGCUAUAGAUAUAUUUCUAUGCAGCUAUAUAACAGAUUCUUUGAAUGCCUUCUGGUUUGGCUUGGGGGGCUGUUCAGUAUUUCUAAUCCCUGCCAUCAUUUGUGCUGUGAAACUAGCCAAAUUCUACCGUAGGAUGGAUACAGAAGAUGUUUACGAUGAAUCAUGAUGACAUUAUACUUUUGCUACAAUAGCAGUGGAAAAACAACAACAGGGAAAUACUGCAAAGCCAAAUAUUUAUCACGUACCAUUACUUAUUAACACACAUGAUAACUACUUCUUUUUUAUAUUUUGUAGUGUUGAAACUAUGCCCAUGAAAAAGUAAGAGAUUUUAAUUGAUAUUAUAGCAUGUAAAGUGGGAGGGUUUUUUUUUUAAUUCGUAGGUGUUACAUAUUUGAUAUAUAUUGUAUUUAUUUUCUACAUUUUUUUGGCAUAUUGAUCACCAUACCUAUCACAAAUAGCUUCAUGCAGAUCAUGUUGAAGUAGAGCUUUCUGUAGAAUUAAUUCAAUAUACGUGACAUACCGUACAGUCCUUGGUAUUCCACAGGCUCCGCUAUGGACAUGCCUAGUUAACACUGUUUUUUUAAGUAUACUGUAUAUAUAUAUAUAAUGAGGUGUUUUAGUUGUCUUAUAUUCUUCUGUUUUUGUUGGCUAUUGCCAGCUGCUUUAGGCAAAGAGUUCGGAAAGGAAACUGAUAGCAUUUAAAACAAACACCUUAUUAAUUUUUUUUAAUUAUCAUCUUUGUAACCAUAGUGUGUAUGGAGUUGCAUCUUAUCAUUAACACAGUCCUUUCUUGGUAUAUUUAUUUUAUUACAGUUUGGAAAAUGGUAAUAAUGGUUAUCAUAAAGAGCAUUUAUAUGGUAUACACAAUCCAAUUCUGACAAGCUCUGUGGAACAGUGGUAGUGCAUACUGGAAAUGUGAUGGCCUUGGGAAAUAAUGCUGCAAGUAGCUCCUCUGGGAAGCACCUUUCCCGUCAAUGCUGAAUUCCGAAUUCUGAGCCAUGUUGUCCGGGGCCUGUCUAGUUAACUAAUGUUGAAUGGAAAGAGAACUGUGCAAACGUAUGCCAUGAAAUGCCAAGCCACACAGCAUCUAUUUUGUGUGUGUGUGGAUUACCAUUAACACAUGGAAUUAGUGGCUUCCAUUCUUGUUUUCUAAUACCAUUUUCCCACUGGGGGUUCUGUCUCUCAUCACAUAAUAUAUUUAUUUAUUGUAAACAGACUGCUCCGUGGUUUAUAUUUGUUUCUAUGGGUUGUUGUUCUUCUUCGGAUUAACUGCCCAGUCGAAAUUAACUCGGUUCUUGUUAUCAUGUCCAGAGAUGUUAAUACCAUGUAUAAAAUAUGUGUUUACAUGAAGAAUACAACCUGUGUACAGACACUUUUUUGUAUCUGUGUUUUUUACAGCUGUAUUUUAGCGGAUUUUUUAAUACUGUUUGUUAUACUUCACAUGCGACCUGUUCCGCAUGGCCAGUGUUUCUUCGGUGCUCUUGGGUGGCUGCAUUUGACUGUAAAACGUAUGGAAACCUGCAAUAUAUUUUGUGUCGUCUUCAGAAAAGUGAAUGCCAUUUGGCAGAUGAUUCUUCCCUAUUUCUGAAUUACUAAUUAACGAAGCAUAUUGUUUUCUUGCAAGCAGUUAGCUUAAAACAAACAAAUUCUGCAGAAAUGUGCAACGGAAAGAUAUUACAAUUUUUUUCUUUGUAACCUGAAUUGUCAUAGCAAGAAGUAAUAAAAGUGGAAAGGGCCUGUUCAGACCUUCGGCAAAUUUCAUAGAGGGCAUGUGUGAUGGAUGCCAAACUGCACACUGUGUUGCUGUAACACAGGCUUCCUCAACCUCGGCCCUCCAGAUCUUUUUGAGACUACAAUUCCCAUCAUCCCUGACCAUGGGUCCUGCUAGCUAGGGAUCAUGGGAGUUGUAGGUCAAAAGCAUCUGAAGUGCUGAGGUUGAGGAAGCCUGCUGUAACACCUAAAUGUAGCGUAUGCGCGUACAUCCCUAGCUAUACAUGCCUAAUAUGCAUACCGGUAAUCAUUAUUUUCAUACACAUUUUUUUUGAGAGAGAAAGCUUGUACUUAUACGCGUAGGGAUGGCACACCUAUUGACCUCACUUAGAUGUUACAGUGGUGUGGAGAUGAAGUGGCUGUGGGGCAAAAUCCCACUUUGCAGCUGCUUCACUCAAUUUGCCAAAGGUGUGUCUAGGCCUAAAGUUAAUACACUAUGGCCCUGAUGAGGUGUUCAUAGGUUUAACUUGUAAACUGUGUUAUAUCUAUAAUAAAGAAUUGGCUAUAUUUUGUUAAAUAGGUGUAAAGUGUUGAGAGUAUAUGGGGAAGCUGUUUCACCCCACUGUCCUUUUACUUGUAAAAGUUGUGAAUAGGAUUGAUCUGCACAAAAAAAGCUGUCAAGAGCUAUCUAACUGAUGAUAACUAAAAGCUGUGUGGGGAAAUAUGGGCUGUUGGGGGCAUGGCUGGGGAGGGCUUUUUAUCUUUUAAGGCAGUGGUGGCCAAACUUGGCCCUCCAGCUGUUCUUGGACUACAGCUCCCAUCAUCCCUAGCUAACAGGACCAGUGGUGAGGGAUGAUGGGAAUUGUAGUCCCCAAAACACCUAGAGGGCCAAGUUUGGAAAGUUUUAAGGCAACAGUCAGCACUGGGGAAUAUGAUGGGUCUUCUAACGUUACACAUGACUUGCUGAUUUCAUUAGAUGGUCUCCAUUCAUUUGGAAACCCUUUUGGUAGAAUUUCGCGUAAGGAUAAUUCCUGGCAAUCUUAGAAUUGCUUAACUGCAUGAUGAUGGCACAUCAGUUGCCCAGUCUGCACACUUGGGACUAAAUGCAUUAUUGUGCUGUGUCUCGUGCAGAAUUUGUGCUUUUCUCCCCAUAUCUCAGUGGUGGGGAAAUGGCGCACAUGAAGCAACCCUCAAACUGAAUGGGAAUUGGUAUUAUAUAGUUUUUCACUAGGGAAACUGAUGAUUUCUACUAGGCAAUGAGUAGAAUAUCUUAAAAUAUGUAAGUAAAUUAUAUCUCAAUAUCUGACAUUCCAAGUUGUAGGUUGUAAUAAGUUCCUGUUUUUAAUUUGAUAACAUCCUCAAAUCAUUUAAAUAAAAUAUCUUGAUUAAUGUUUGUGUAAUUUUUACAUGCAAGGAGC